GUCAGACGCUGCAGCUGAGGGUGGGCCCCAUGCAGAGAGCGCGCCAAAACUCCAGUACAGCGUAAACAAGUUGAAGAAAACUUGAAGUCUCAUGAAGUUGAGCGUCACUAGCUUGUGAUAACUGGGCUGAAAGGCUGCAACUCUUGAAGCCUAUAUACAGUGUCAACACAGGCUUUGUUUUGUCUUCUUCCUGCCCAACUUAUUACAAGAUAACAUUGCUUCAGUUCCUUUUCUACCUAUAUGUGAUGCCUGUCACUAAGAACUCCCCUCAUUAGGGGAUGGCCACAUCAGCAGUCUCCGCUUAUUCCUAUCCUUGCAUGCUCUAAUUCUCUCAUUCUCUCCUUGCAUUCUCUAAUCCUCUCUCUCUCUCUCUCUCUCUCU